AGAAAUUUAGGCGUUAUUUUAUAGCAAAUAAUAUUUCCUAACUUUCAUACAAUGUAAUUCUAUAGUAGGAGUAUUAUUUAAUGGGAUACACGAUUAAUCGACUGUAUAAUGCAGCAAACAUUUUUUUUUUCCGACUCCAAAUGCAAACGAAAUCAAUAUAAACAGACGCGUAGAGAUGUAGAACAAUUAAUUUACUAAAUCAUACCCUCAUAAGUCAUCAGAUAGCCUAAGCUCCUUCUAAAUACACAAGCUGUUUAGUUUGUAAAAUAGAUAUUUCGCACUAGAAAAUAAUACGAAAAGCAGAGAUCUCUUACUCUUCAAGCCUCCGGUCAUCACCAAGAACGAGAAUGCUACGCUUUAGGGAAGAAUCCUUCACUAAAUACAGAAUGCUACGUUUCCUUCUGCCCCUAAAGCAUAUCAUAUACACAGAAAUCCCAGAAGAUCCUCUUUAGGUAAAAUUCAAACUAAGGCUCUUCCACUUUCUUACAGUUUACAAUUCUAACACCUAAACUCGUACACUGCCUCAACAUGAAAUUGGCAUCUUUCCGAACGCAGACUAGGAAGAUAUGCGAGCCAUAAUUGCGGAUUCCACUCACGAAAGCAUUACGGAUGGCAUUAUAAUCAUAAGUGAUAUGUCACAUGCCUGUAUCACCUCGAAACGCCCACAUAACUCAUAUCUCAGUGAUUGCUUUGG
rnacentral:lncRNA from 1 species